UCCAAAGAGAAACUCAUUGCUAAUAAAGAUGCUCUCUUGUCAUCAUGUACUCCACCACAAGGAUCAGGCUCCUGCAACAGAAAAAGGUGGAGAUAACCCAAGUCGCAUACCAUCAUGAACUCCACCACAAGGGUCAGGCUCCUGCAACAGAAAAAGGAGACAACCCAAGUCGCAUAUCCUCUUUUAUCUUUCUUAAUUUUAAUAUUAUGUAAUACACAUAGGCUAAGAGCUUGAAAGCAUAUUACCCACGUUUUUUAUUGCAUAGGAUUUUAUUCCUAAAAUGGCGUACAGACUGAACAGCAAUAUGCAUGGGCAUGAAGUACAUAGAUUAUUCUACAUCUAAUAUGCAUCAGUGUGAAAAGUUGAGGUACACAUUGCUAUUGAAACAACAAUAUUCAUUAGCAAUGAUCAAUUUAUCAUUAAAGUGAACAGCCCAGUGCUGUACCAAAAGGCUCUGUUCUAUACACCACGUUGAGAAAGGCCAACCACUUCUUUUUUAGUGGAGCAAUAUAACUUCAUUCAAAGAAAUGAUUUUGAAUAAAGAAACAGACUUUUCUUUCAUUGCUUCUUUCACUGGCAUGGACCACCGCUUAUAAUAAUGUAGUUCUUUUCCUGGCUGUAUUCUCUCUUCUAUCCAUCUUAGAUUGUACAUGAAACUCCCCCCCCCCCCCCCCCCCCCCCCCCCCCCCC
rnacentral:lncRNA from 1 species